AAGACCUUUGAGAAUUAGACAAAAUCAAAGUGUAACAGGCCCUAGGGAUGAUGAAUUUUUCUAUAAAGAGAAGAGAUCUGAGCCGGGACUCUCAGCCCCUGUUACUAUUUUAUUCCCAAUGCAACCAUAGGUCACUUCAGAGUCUCCCCACAAGCAAGAAGGACGUCAUCAGAUAUGUUGAACAAUCUCGAACUUCCCAGUCUUCAGAAGGUCACCAUGAAGGGAGCAGUUUCGUUUCAACAUAAACCUUGGCCAUAAAGUUCUAUUUCACAACAGAACAACAGAGCAGUGGAACCAGGCUAGCCACCGACAGACACCCCCAAAGUGCCGCCUUGCAGCCUCGAGCCUUGGGAAGUCCCUCAAUACUUACUGAGCACUGGGCCACGACCAGUGUGGCUUUCCAAGACGCCUGACUGUGUGGAUGUGGGUGGCCUCUGGAAUGUCAGAAGACAAGGUGAACACUGUACUCGGUUUCCCUCAUAAAGCAUCAGCUUUGCUGAGCUGCAGCCUGGCAUGGACAACAUGUACACAUUUCUAAAAAUAAUAAACAAUAUCUGUGUGCCCACUGGUGAGCGGAAAUAAUGUAUGACAGGCGACCAGCACAAUCAUAAAACACUUUCUGCAUUUUUCUUCAAAGGGAAGGCUCUCAUGUCUUUACGUAAGUUUAUUUCAGCUUUCUAGUUUCGAUGUAUUGUGUGUGAAGAUUCCGUGACAUCCCUCCAAGGUAAAAAAAUCUCAGCUUUGUUUGGUUGGCAGAAGGAAUUGCUUCUCCUGACAUUUAGACCUAUGGAUUUAUUUCCGAGUCGCCUCGAGGGAGUUUUCGUGUUUAUUUCUUUCUGAAUUGCCACUAGGAAACUAAACAUUUCAAUAUUCCAAGCAUGUGCACCAAUAAGCAUGACGAAGAAGCAUUAGAAAAAAAGUUUGAUGCCAUAACAUUUUUGGCAACCAUACCUGUUUGUAUUGGGGAGGAUAUAGAUGAAUGUAGACAUCUGCAAAGAAAUAACAGCGAGGAGUAAAUAAACAAGUGAAGAACAGGAAAGUAAACGAGCUUCUGAAAGAAGUUCAAAACGCCCGUUUUCCCUCACAUUUAAUUAUAAGUUGUAUAUGCUGUUUUCUUUGCAGACAAUUCUGUGAACUUUGGAUUUUGGAUUUGUGUUCCAACUCUCUCAUCUACUUACCCUAAAAGUGGAGGAAGAAAG